UACGGGGGGAGCAAGCGUUGUUCGGAUUUACUGGGCGUAAAGGGCGCGUAGGCGGCCUUCUAAGUCGAACGUGAAAUCCCCGGGCUCAACCCGGGAACUGCGUCCGAUACUGGAAGGCUUGAAUUCGGGAGAGGGAUGCGGAAUUCCAGGUGUAGCGGUGAAAUGCGUAGAUAUCUGGAGGAACACCGGUGGCGAAGGCGGCAUCCUGGACCGGCAUUGACGCUGAGACGCGAAAGCGUGGGGAGCGAACAGG
rnacentral:rRNA from 1 species